GUAUGAAAGCUAAAACUAAAACAGGAGGUAAUAGUACAUCAACACUAAAUUCAUCCUGGAUGCCCCCCUCCCCGCCCCACUUAGUUCUCACCUUCUCGAUUUAUUUCUGUUGACCAAAUGGGAUUUAGUGUUUGUUGACUAAACUUAUAUCCCAACACAACUGAAUAAGAGAUAGCCAGACCAGGAGAUGGAAAAGUUUAUUCUACCUUGUGUGUGUGUGUGGGGGGGGGGGGGGCGGUAGGGCUGAGUCUUAGAGGCGGGAUCUAUACUGCAUUUCCUAGUCUCUACAGUUCAGGGUCUUUAAGCACAAAAAACCACAAGUACCAUAUGCAGGUGGUCAAGACAAGUUAAAAACAGAUUAAGAAAGCCUUUUAUGGAAGGAGAAUUUUGUGGCUAGGCUAACAGAAUAUUAGCUAAACUUUUAGCAUUGUCACCAUGCUUCACAAAUCAGUAUAAUUACACUCUGGAAACUGCAGUUUUUCUUUCAGUCACAAAAGUCAUUUCAUUAAGGCUGUUAGUCCCCAUUCAAGCAAGCACAUAGUUACAGAAGCAGAAUUAGCAGGUUAGUAGAAAAACUACAUUCCAAACCCUCCCAUUGCCCGUUUGUUAAAUAAGGGCUUGGGUGAUAUUUCAUAGAACAUGUUCCUGUUAUCCAGCCUAAGUUUGCCCUUCCCCAGGAAAACUUAUUUACUCUGCCUUAAGUCUGAAGUAUUUAGGGACUCAAAAAGGGGGCUUCUUUACACUUUUCACUUGGUCCCACAAAACCAUUUCUGAAUCCUCUUAUCAAAUCUGGGUUUCACUGCUGCCUGUCUAGCUCAAUGACUUACUUUGAAAUGCCUAUCUCUGGAAUUUCCUUUCAGUGGCUGGUCUGGAGUUUUUAUUAUUAUUAUUUAACUAAAGAGUUCUGCCUUUAAUAUUUGGCCCUAUUUCUGAUAUUCAAUAUUUUUGUCCGGUCCCUGAUUUUACAGUAGCUCUUCUUAAUUUUGUAGGAUACACAUUGUCUUCUUGACUACAUUCUUCCCCUCUUCUCUGCAUUCAUCCAGCUCUUUCCUCUUGACCCCACCCCACCUCACCCCUUUGGAGUAACAGCUUCCUGGUGUUUUCUUUUGCUCAACUUUGAGUGUUCAUUUUUGCAAUUGUAUUUUAAAUGACAACUUUCAAGAUGAGGUAUGACUUGAAUAGGACUGAGAAAGAUUCUUGAUUUCAUGUUUUAGCAUGAUACAUCAAGGCAAGGAUUUAAAAGAGUUUUAAAUUCACAUUUACAGAAAAUAAUGAUAUAGAUUUGGGGGGACAGUGUCAUAUUUUGUACAGUAGAGCAUAAACAAUUCAGUGAAAAAGCACUUCCUUUACGACAAAUACUAAUUUUUUCAACCACAGAAUAUCUGAAAUCCUCUGUUCUAGCUUUUUUAAAUAAACACUAAAAUUGUUGUUACCCCUAGUUAGGAUACUAUACAAAGAACUUGUUUGUGUGUGGGGGAGGGGGUAGGUGUGCCUAUACUAGUAUUGGGAAUUGUACCCAGGAACUAGGUGCUGUGUUUCAACUUUCAAAAUUUCAUUUUUAUUUAUUUCUUUUUAAUUUUUUUUCUCAUAAAUUUGAAGUACAGAGGGGUUACAGAUUCAUAUGUAAGGCAGUG